GUUUUGAUGAAAAUAGAUCUGAAAAUGGUUGAAAGUCUGAAAGUCUUUUAGUGACACUGAAUUUCUGUUGUAUUUCAUUGUUUUAUUCAACAUCCUGGGCCAUCACCCAUCAAAAAAAAAGAUGUAAUGACUCGGCCCACGCCUUGAUUGGGGAACUUUGCUGAUCUACACCUGCCCAAAAACCUGCACUGAAAGAGAACCAUACCAUCCAGAAGUCAUAUGGAAGCAAGACUAUCACAACUCAUCCAUCUCAUGAUGUCCUGUUCUCGUCAGACCAGAUUUAUGAACAGCCUCGGAAGACAAACAAAGUGUCUCAUCGGGAGAUUAUCGGUGCCCCUACACCUAGGCCAGGUGUGAUUUCUCUAUUGUGCCUCCUUUGUACAAUCUUAGUGACUUUACCAACCAACCAGCUUCUUUGCAUCCUCAUCCCUUGCCCUUGCAGCAGACGGUUGGCCGUAGAUCUCCAGAUCAGCUGAAGAUUGAUAAAGUUCAGGUGGCUUUUCCAGAUGCAUGGUAAAGGAUAGAACAAAGCGACAGAACCAAUUCCAGGUGGAUUAUUAAAGCAAACUGUGCGGGCUGCAGCUGGAACCAACAGACACGUACAAGGUCCACUCCACAAUUACAAGGACUACAGCUUCAUCAGCCGCUAGCAGUGAUAAUAUGCCAGUGAAACUCUAGGACAAAGUACAUCAACUAGGGUUUGUGUCAGCAGCAGUUGGACACCAAUGGAGACCGAGGAUGAAGCAGAUGGGUAGUUGAGAUAUUUUCCAUGAAAACAAAUCUGUUUACACACUCUUGGUCAGAUUAUCAUACCUGGCUCAUUGUGAUGUAAUUUCUAAAAGUCAUUACUUCAUAAUAUAGUAAGAUUAAAGAAGAACAAAGUAAGGGAAUAUACUAUGUCCCCUGCCUCUCACCCUAAGUGGUUUUCAAAACAGGUAUAGUUCUCAAUAAUCUUUCUUUUUGAAGUGACAGAUGUCAUGAUCUAAAUUACUCUUCUGAGAUUGAAGACAAGAUCUUUCAUACCCACUUGCUUGCUCUCAUUGUGAUGUAUCAGCUCCCUUAGGUUAGUUAUGAAGUAUUGACUAAACUUGAAAUGCUCAAUCAUACCAUUUUGUUUUAUGAUUGUUAUAAUCAACAAUUUUUUACAAAACUGAAGUCAUUUAAAUGCUGGUAGAUAUUGAGGUUUUCCAUACACGGCCCGAGAACACCCAUCAGGCAGACCGUAUUGGUUGCCCAGUGCAAGAUAAUUUAAUUUCUAUUUUUAAUCCUGGAGAAAGUUGCAGCCGUUAUAUUACCCAAUGUUUUUUGUUUAGGGCUGUGACGCAAAUGUUAAGUAAUCAAUUACUAAUUGCAGUGGCUUAUUAGGAUCAUUAUAGCAUGCACCAGCACGGUUCCCAGUCUAUCAGGGAAAAUUAUCUUACUUUUUUCCAGCCAGGGAAAAAUCAGGGAAUUUUAUUUCAAAAUACCUCAAAUCAGGGGAAAAUGCCUCAAAUGAGGGAAAAAUAAGGAAAUAUUGAUCAGCCCAAAAGUUGAAAGUACAGUAGUUUUUCAGACUAAGUCAUAUUUGGAUUUUGUUGCAUAUCAAAACAACGUCCAUUGAAUGACUGGUUAUGGUGGUACUAAUUAGUUUUGCAUUGUUG
rnacentral:lncRNA from 1 species